rnacentral:rRNA from 1 species
CCUACGGGGGGCAGCAGUGAGGAAUAUUGGUCAAUGGGCGCGAGCCUGAACCAGCCAAGUCGCGUGAGGGAAGACGGUCCUAUGGAUUGUAAACCUCUUUUGUCGGGGAGCAAAAGACGCCACGCGUGGCGUUCCGAGUGUACCCGAAGAAAAAGCAUCGGCUAACUCCGUGCCAGCAGCCGCGGUAAUACGGAGGAUGCGAGCGUUAUCCGGAUUUAUUGGGUUUAAAGGGCGCGCAGGCGGAAGAUAAAGUCAGCGGUAAAAUUGGGAGGCUAAACCUAUUCGAGCAGUUGAAACUGGUUUUCUUGGGUGAGCGAGAAGUAGGCGGAAUGCGUGG